GAUGAACGCUGGCGGCGUGCCUAAUACAUGCAAGUCGAGCGAACAGACGAGGAGCUUGCUCCUCUGACGUUAGCGGCGGACGGGUGAGUAACACGUGGAUAACCUACCUAUAAGACUGGGAUAACUUCGGGAAACCGGAGCUAAUACCGGAUAAUAUAUUGAACCGCAUGGUUCAAUAGUGAAAGACGGUUUUGCUGUCACUUAUAGAUGGAUCCGCGCCGCAUUAGCUAGUUGGUAAGGUAACGGCUUACCAAGGCAACGAUGCGUAGCCGACCUGAGAGGGGGGUCGGCCACACUGGAACGGAGACACGGUCCAGACUCCUGAGGGAGGCAGCAGUAGGGAAUCUUCCGCAAUGGGCGAAAACCUGACGGAGCAACGCCGCGUGAGUGAUGAAGGUCUUCGGAUCGUAAAACUCUGUUAUUAGGGAAGAACAAAUGUGUAAGUAACUAUGCACGUCUUGACGGUACCUAAUCAGAAAGCCACGGCUAACUACGUG
rnacentral:rRNA from 1 species